rfam:Triticum aestivum genome assembly, contig: Triticum_aestivum_CS42_TGACv1_scaffold_031025_1BL
UAAGUACUCCCUCCGUCUAGAAAUACUUGUCCUCAAAAUGAUUAUAUUUAGAUUUAUUUUAGUUAUAGAUAUAUCCAUUUUAUUCAUUUCUAGGACAAGUAUUUUCGAACGGAGGGAGUAAUUA